rnacentral:rRNA from 1 species
CAAGAGCGUAUGUAAAAGUUGUUGCAGUUAAAAAGCUCGUAGUUGAACCUUGGGUUUGGUUGGCCGGUCCGCUUUUUUGCGAGUACUGGAUUCAACCGAGCCUUUCCUUCUGGCUAACCAGUCGUUUCGGCGGCUGGCGAACCAGGAUUUUUACUUUGAGAAAAUUAGAGUGUUCAAAGCAGGCAUUAGCUUGAAUAUAUUAGCAUGGAAUAAUAGAAUAGGACGUUAUGGUUCUAUUUUGUUGGUUUCUAGGACCAUCGUAAUGAUUAAUCGGGACGGUCGGGGGCAUCAGUAUUCAGUUGUCAGAGGUGAAAUUCUUGGAUUUACUGAAGACUAACUACUGCGAAAGCAUUUGCCAAGGACGUUUUCAUUAA